UACAGAGGGUGCGAGCGUUAAUCGGAAUUACUGGGCGUAAAGCGCGCGUAGGCGGAAUGAUAAGUCAGAUGUGAAAUCUUUGGGCUCAACCCAAAAACUGCAUAUGAUACUGUCAGUCUAGAGUAUGGUAGAGGAAGGUGGAAUUUCUGGUGUAGCGGUGAAAUGCGUAGAUAUCAGAAGGAAUAUCAGUGGCGAAGGCGACCUUCUGGGCCAAUACUGACGCUGAGGUGCGAAAGCGUGGGUAGCGAACAGG
rnacentral:rRNA from 1 species